CAUUUCUGAAGAUUGGCC
rnacentral:rRNA from 1 species